UACGUAGGGUGCGAGCGUUGUCCGGAAUCAUUGGGCGUAAAGGGCGCGUAGGUGGCCCGGUCAGUUCGUGGUGAAAGCGCGGGGCUCAACCCUGCGUCGGCCAUGAAUACUGCCGCGGCUGGAGCACUGUAGAGGCAGGCGGAAUUCCGGGUGUAGCGGUGGAAUGCGCAGAUAUCAGGAGGAACACCGGUGGCGAAGGCGGGUCUCUGGGCCGAUACUGACGCUGAGGAGCGAAAGCGUGGGGAGCGAACAGG
rnacentral:rRNA from 1 species